AUUGAACGCUGGCGGCAGGCUUAACACAUGCAAGUCGAGCGGGGAUUGGGUGCUUGCACCUAAUCUUAGCGGCGGACGGGUGAGUAAUGCUUAGGAAUCUGCCAUUUAGUGGGGGACAACAUUCCGAAAGGGAUGCUAAUACCGCAUACGCCCUACGGGGGAAAGCAGGGGAUCUUCGGACCUUGCGCUAAAUGAUGAGCCUAAGUCGGAUUAGCUAGUUGGUGGGGUAAAGGCCUACCAAGGCGACGAUCUGUAGCGGGUCUGAGAGGAUGAUCCGCCACACUGGGACUGAGACACGGCCCAGACUCCUACGGGAGGCAGCAGUGGGGAAUAUUGGACAAUGGGCGGAAGCCUGAUCCAGCCAUGCCGCGUGUGUGAAGAAGGCCUUUUGGUUGUAAAGCACUUUAAGCGAGGAGGAGGCUACCUGGAUUAAUACUCUAGGAUAGUGGACGUUACUCGCAGAAUAAGCACCGGCUAACUCUGUGCCAGCAGCCGCGGUAAUACAGAGGGUGCGAGCGUUAAUCGGAUUUACUGGGCGUAAAGCGUGCGUAGGCGGCUGAUUAAGUCGGAUGUGAAAUCCCUGAGCUUAACUUAGGAAUUGCAUUCGAUACUGGUCAGCUAGAGUAUGGGAGAGGAUGGUAGAAUUCCAGGUGUAGCGGUGAAAUGCGUAGAGAUCUGGAGGAAUACCGAUGGCGAAAGCAGCCAUCUGGCCUAAUACUGACGCUGAGGUACGAAAGCAUGGGGAGCAAACAGGAUUAGAUACCCUGGUAGUCCAUGCCGUAAACGAUGUCUACUAGCCGUUGGGGCCUUUGAGGCUUUAGUGGCGCAGCUAACGCGAUAAGUAGACCGCCUGGGGAGUACGGUCGCAAGACUAAAACUCGAAUGAAUUGACGGGGGCCCGCACAAGCGGUGGAGCAUGUGGUUUAAUUCGAUGCAACGCGAAGAACCUUACCUGGCCUUGACAUAGUAGAAACUUUCCAGAGAUGGAUUGGUGC
rnacentral:rRNA from 1 species